AUUGAACGCUGGCGGCAGGCCUAACACAUGCAAGUCGAGCGAGAGGCGGACGGGUGAGUAAUGUCUGGGAAACUGCCUGAUGGAGGGGGAUAACUACUGGAAACGGUAGCUAAUACCGCAUACCAUCAGAUGUGCCCAGAUGGGAGGAGCUAGUAGGUGGGGUGACGGCUCACCUAGACGACGAUCCCUAGCUGGUCUGAGAGGAUGAGCAGCCACCGUGGAACUGAGACAAGGUCCAGACUCCUACGGGAGGCAGCAGUGGGUAAUAUUGCACAAUGGGCGCAAGCCUGAUGCAGCCAUGCCGCGUGUGUGAAGAAGGCUGUCGGGUUGUAAAGCACUUGCAGCGGGGAGGCGUUACCCGCAGAAGAAGCACCGGCUAACUCCGUGCCAGCAGCCGCGGUAAUAC
rnacentral:rRNA from 1 species